rnacentral:rRNA from 1 species
CGGCCCAUACCAUUCUACAGCAUAAGAAGAAGGUAGUGACAAGUAAAUAACAAUACAAGGCAGUUAAAAUAGGCUUUGUAAUUAGGAAUCGAUAGAAAUUUAAACACUUUUUAAAGUAUCAAUUAGGAGGGCAAGUCUGGUGCCAGCAGCCGCGGUAAUUCCAGCUCCAAUAGCGUAUAUUAAAAUUGUUGCAGUUAAAAAGCUCGUAGUUGAAUUUCUGCUAAAAAUAACCGGUCUGCUUUUAAUAAAGGUGGUAUCUUGGUGUGUUUUUAGCAAUAAUGUCCUUUGAAAUGUUUUUUACUUCAUUGUAAUAAAUUAUUUUUAGGAUUUUUACUUUGAGAAAAUUAGAGUGUUUCUAGCAGGCUAACGCUUUGAAUACUGCAGCAUGGAAUAAUAAAAUAGGAUUUUGGUUCUACAUUAUUGGUUUUAAGAGCUAAAUUAAUGAUUGAUAGGGACAGUUGGGGCCAUUUUUGUAUU